CGAUAUGAUUCUUUUUGUGGAUUCUUGCAAGGCGACACCUAAUCCUGAUCCGGAUGUUAAUCCACAGUAUCAAUUAAUCGAAAACAGCUGUGGUGUAGACUCAACUGUUCAUUUCGACGGCCAGCCAACGUCGGGAGAUACAUCACGUGUCUUAUUUUCAUUUAAAAGUUUUGGUGUCAAUGGUGAUUACUCUACGGUGUUUGUUCACUGUCAAUUGUCUAUUUGCAACGGAAGUGACUGGCGAUGCUAUAGAGACUGCCAACAACGUCAACGUCGUGACGUCUCUGCACCUGAUAAAUUGUCUGAUACCAUUCCGAUUGUUCUUGGACCUGUGAUACUGAAGAAAUCAGAGGAUGACUCAGA